GAUGAAGAACUUAGCGAAAUGCGAUAAGUAAUGUGAAUUGCAGAAUUCAGUGAAUCAUCGAAUCUUUGAACGCACAUUGCGCCCGCCAGUAUUCUGGCGGGCAUGCCUGUUCGAGCGUCAUUUCAACCCUCAAGACCCCUUCGGGGGACUUGGUGUUGGGGACCGGCACAGGGGCCUGCCUGCUUGUCUUGCAGCGCCCUCGCCGCCCCCGAAAUGAAUUGGCGGCCUCGUCGCGGCCUCCCCUGCGUAGUAGCACAACCUCGCAACGGGAACGUGACGGCGGCCACUGCCGUAAAACAACCCCAAUUUUAUUAGAGUUGACCUCGAAUCAGGUAGGAAUACCCGCUGAACUUAAGCAUAUCAAUAAGCGGAGGA
rnacentral:misc_RNA from 1 species